rnacentral:rRNA from 1 species
CACGCCGUAAACAAUGGAUACUUGAGGUUGGAGGUAUUGACCCCUUCAGUCUCGAAGCUAACGCGUUAAGUAUCCCGCCUGGGGAGUACGGUCGCAAGAUUAAAACUCAAAGAAAUUGACGGGGGCCCGCACAAGCGGUGGAGCAUGUGGUUUAAUUCGAUGCAACGCGAAAAACCUUACCUGGUCUUGACAUCCCUGUGAAUGAGAUAGAGAUAUUUCAGCCUUCGGGCACAGGUGACAGGUGC